rnacentral:rRNA from 1 species
GGCUUAGAGUUUGAUCAUGGCUCAGGAUGAACGCUGGCGACAGGCUCAACACAUGCAAGUCGAGGGGCGCUCUGAGGCUUCAAUACCUUGAUGGCAACCGGCGCUCGGGUGAGGAACGCGUGUGGAACCUGGCGUAUACCGGGGGAUAGCCCAUGGAAACGUGCAUUAACACCCCAUAGCUUUUUAUCCUGCCUGGGAUGGGAGUUAAAUGUUCAAGGUAUGUGAUGGGCAUGCGUCCUAUUAGUUAUUUGGUGGGAUAACAGCCCACCUGGACGAUGAUACGUAGGGGUUCUGAAAGGAAAGUCCCCCACAUUGGAACUGAGACCCCGUCCAAACUCCUACACGAGGCAGACUCGAAGAAUAUUGGUCAAUGGACAAUAUUGUGAACCGGCCAAAUCGCGGGAGGGAAGACUGCCCUAUGGGUUGUAAAGCUCUUUUAUUGUGGAAGAAUAAUAUCUACGUGUAAAGUGAUGCCUGUACCUUAUGAAUAAGCAUCGGCUAACUCCGUGCCAGCAGCCGCGGUAAUACGGAGGAUGCGAGCGUUGUCCGGAUUUAUUGGGUGUAAAGGGUGCGUAGGCGGAUUAUUAAGUUAGAGGUGAAAUGUUUGAGCUAAACUCAUUACAUGCAUUAGUACUAUCAACUGGAGUGAGACGAGGCAAGCG